rfam:Novosphingobium barchaimii strain NS277 contig_14, whole genome shotgun sequence.
CCUGCGGACCGGGCCCCUCUGGCGCGGCGCUCUUGCGAGCGCGGCGUGAUGUCGGACCGCAUCG